AUGAUCGGCACGAUCCUCCCUCUACCGGCCCCGCCCUCCGAUGGCAACCUCGGUCCCAUUCCCCCCGCCCAGAUCUCCGACGAGAACGAGGAUGACAAGAAGCCCGAAGGCCAGCCGCCCGCUCCCGCCGCCGCCCCGGCGCCGGUGGCAACCCACACGAGAACCAUCGGUAUCAUCCACCCGCCGCCCGACAUCCGGAUGAUCAUCGAGAAGACGGCCACCUUCGUCGCCAAAAAUGGCCCUGAGUUCGAGAAGCGCAUCCUCGCCAACAACGCCGGCAACGCUAAGUUCAACUUCCUCAUUCCUUCCGACCCCUACCACGCCUACUACCAGCACCGUGUCUCCGAAUUCCGCUCCCAGCAGCAGCAGCAGCCUCCCGCCGCCGACUCCGACUCCUCCUCCCUGCAGCAGCAGCAGCCGCCCCCUUCCACGGAUUCCGCCCCCGCCGCACCUUCCGGCGAUUCCGCCGCCAAGCCCGACCUCGCCGCCCCGUUCCACAUCCCCACCCGGAAGGUCCUCGAGCCACCAGAGGCCGAGCAGUACACCGUCCGGCUCCCCGAGGGGAUCACCGGGGAGGAGCUCGACAUCAUCAAGCUCACCGCCCAGUUCGUCGCUCGGAACGGGAAGGUCUUCUUGAAUAAGCUCUCGGACCGGGAGGCCAACAACCCGCAGUUCCACUUCCUGCGGCCCACACACAGCAUGUUCACUUGCUUCACCGCGCUCACCGACGCCUGCUCGAAGGUGCUGAUGCCGCCCAAGGGGGUGACGGAGAAGCUGCGGAGCAGCGCCUGUGACAUGACGUCUGUGCUCGAGCGGUGCCUGCACCGCCUCGAGUGGGAGCGCUCGCAGGAGCAGGCGAGGCAGAAGGCCGAGGAUGAGAUCGAGCAGGAGAGGCAGCAGAUGGCGAUGAUCGAUUGGCAUGAUUUUGUUGUUGUGGAGACCAUCGAGUUUGCUGAUGACGAGGAUGAUGAGCUGCCGAUGCCGAUGACACUGGAGGAGGUCAUAAGAAGGAGCAAGAUGUCAGCUUUGGGUGAAGAGAAAGCCAUGGAAACAGUGGAACCAGGAAAGGAGGUGGAGAUGGAGAUGGACGAAGAGGAGGUCCAGCUUGUAGAAGAAGGUAUGAGGGCAGCAAGACUUGAAGAUGGUGGCAGGGAUGAGAAAAAGGGUGAAGCAGAGGCAGCGGCGGCACCUACUGAUGAACCAGAGCCUCCAAUGAGGAUAGUGAAGAACUGGAAGAGGCCCGAGGAGAGGAUCCCUGCUGAAAGAGACCCGACCAAGUUUACGAUCUCGCCGAUCACCGGUGAGCUAAUUCUGAUCAGUGAGAUGGCCGAACACAUGCGUAUUUCACUCAUAGACCCCAAGUAUAAGGAGCAGAAGGAGAGGAUGAUGGCAAAGAUCCGGGAGACGACUCUUGCUGCGGAUGAUGAGAUCGCUAGGAACAUUGUGGGGCUUGCCCGAACGCGUCCCGAUAUUUUUGGGACAACGGAGGAAGAAGUCUCUAAUGCAGUGAAGGCUGAAAUUGAGAAGAAGAAAGACGAGCAGCCAAAUCAGGUCAUUUGGGAUGGGCACUCUGGUAGCAUUGGGCGAACUGCAACUCAAGCUUUGUCUCAGAGUCUUUCUGGUGAGGAACAAAUUGAUGCUAACAGUGAUGACGGGAGGACCCUUCCAGGCCCUGCUCCACCUCCGAAGCCUGGUGUACCAUUAGUGCGGCCUUUCCCGCCCCCACCACCUGGAUUAGCUCUGAAUAUUCCUCGUUUUCCUCCAAAUGUGGCCCCUUACGCUGCUCUUGCUGCCAGUGGGGGAAUGGUGCCGCCACCACCGCGGCCAGGAAUUAUACCAAUAACUCCAUCUGUGAGGCCUGCAGCUCCACCAAUGCCUAUGACUUCGACCCAGCAGUCUGUUAUGAUGAGCAGGCCUUCAAUGCCCCAGGCGAUCUCAGUGUCACCUGCUAUUCCCAUGCCGCCACCACCUGGGUCGCAGUUCACUCCUUUGGUGGCUCCCCGACCAUUUGUUCCUAUGCCCAUGCUACAUCCUAACAUGCCAACUGUCCUGCCGCCUCCUCUCCCACAAGGAAUGCCACCUCCACCUCCUCCAGAGGAAGCUCCUCCACCGCUACCUGAUGAGCCAGAGCCAAAGAGGCUAAGGACUGAUGAUGUUUCUCUCAUACCAGAGGAUCAUUUCCUCACUCAGCAUCCUGGACCUGCUCGUGUUUCUGUAUCUGUUCCUAAUGUUGAUGAAGGGAACUUGAAAGGCCAGCUUCUGGAGAUCACAGUACUGUCCUUGUCUGAGACUGUUGGCAGUCUUAAAGAGAAGAUUGCUGGAGAGAUUCAGCUUCCUGCUAAUAAGCAGAAAUUGAGCAGCAGGGCAGGUUUUCUAAAGGACAACCUUACACUUGCUUAUUACAACAUUGGUCCUGGAGAAACGUUAUCUCUUGCUCUAAGGGAGCGUGGUGGCAGAAAGAAAUGAUCUCUUCUUCUUUCUUGCUGCAACUUAGGAAGAAGUAGAGUUGUCAGUUAACAAAAUAAUAUUUGGCUUUAUGUGAUGAGGAUUUCUCAGACCUAUGUUCGGCUCCAUGCUUCAUGCUCUGGAGACAUAACUCAUAAUCAAAAUAUGGUUCUGACAGAGUUCAAGAACAAUUUGCUACUAGUUCUGAACCUAAAGUUCUCCCUCUAUGAAGUAGUUCAAAGCAGCUUGCUGGAAGGGAGGGACCAAGGGGCCUGCCAUAAAUCUUAGCAGGUCAUUUCAAGGAAGGCAGACCGAUUGUGUAGAAAUUUAGUAGGUCAUUUCAAGGAAGCAGACUUAUUUGUAGAAAUUUUAAUCUCAUGCAAGCAGAACAACGACCUUUGAGACUCCAAGAAGAUUAGAUUGAUCAUUAGAGUGGAGAUAAAGAGGGAGAAGAUUCCACUAGCGAUUCCGAUGACUUAGGAUGUUAACUAAUUGCUGAAGUCCUAUGCUAAUGAGUGGUAGCAGUAGCCUGUUUGUAUCUCUCUAAUUGCAGAAGGCGGCUUCCUGAAACCUUUCUGUUGUAUAAAUUAUUGCUCUAGCAUAUCUUCAUCUGUUAGUUCAGCACCAAACACUGGCGUAGAGCUGCAAGAGAUUCAGAAGCAAAUCAAAAAAUGCUUAUCACCAGGAAUAGUGUGGGUGCAUCUUGUAGGUCCUACAAUCCAUCUUCCCUCAGCUUGUCUGCUGCUGCAUGUGAGACUGAUGCACUCUCCUCUAAUAAGUUGAAGGAAAAAUAUGCGUCUUCUGCUUUUAAUACCAAGCCUGGUUCCCCAUCAACUUAGUUCAACAGCAAAUGGGGUGUAUAUGGAAAAGUCUGCAGACUUGAUAGGCAACGCAUGGUAGAUGAAGUACAUCUUCACAGAUUUGAUGGCCUACUGGAAAAUGGAGGGGCUCAUCAAUGUGUUAUUGCUAGCAUCACGGUCAAGGCAUCAAUUCAAGAAGUAUGGAAUGUGUUGACCACCUACGAGGCAUUGCCCAAGAUUGUCCCAAAUUUGGCUAUCAGUAAAAUCCUGUGUUGAGAUAAUAAUAAGGUUCGCAUUCUACAGACUAUGAUGUUGUUGGCUGUGCCCUCCUUUGCUGGCAAAAGGAAAAAUGGAACACAAACUUUCCACCUUUAUUGCCUAACCAAUAGAUAAGUUUUACUUCCAAGGCAAGGUUUCUCUCCUUUUUUGACCUUAAAGUUCCUAUCUGUAAGUAUGGAGGCGUGAUCAUCUCCAAAACUUAUUUCGAAUUCUACAGCAUGUACCCAUGUUCGCUUGCUAACCACUUUGCUAAUGUAAUCACUGCAUGCCACAUAGUUAUGACCUUGUUCAAACUGCGAGCAUCAUGUCUUUCUCCAUAGUUACUGUCCUAUCUAAUCUCCAUGUUCCACAUGUCCUCCAUAACAUCUAGUGAAAUAAUGUGGUUAAUAGUUUUUAUAGUAAGACUAUCAUGCUAAUUGCAUAGUGACUUGCUUUAUAAGCAUUGAUGCUGGGAAUAAUAUAUAAUGUUGCAGUUUGAUGCUUUGCCUGUCAGAAUCCUCUCUCUUUCUCAUAUUAUGUCAGGAUGAUGUAAUCUUCAUUUAUGAAUACUUUAUCUUCAUGAAAUUUCUGGACUACGUCCUCUGGUAUGUCAGCUCAAUUAGCAAUUACAGUUUUUGAGAAGAAGAAAAAGAAAAAUUCAUUAUUUUUUGUUUUACAGGGGGGUUGCAAGGGCCUAUUAUAUAUGGUUCUUCAAGCACGUGUUGUUUUGGAUUUGCAUGAAGAACUUGAAUUAGCUUUGAGCAAGUUGAAGGGGUUGCGCUUGUGAGGAGCUAGGGACUUGGAAAUUGGUUUCUUUGACCCCCUAUGAAAGGCUGUGUGUGACACGAAUGGUUCUAUUUUUUUCCCAAUGGCGUUGUAAUAUAGUGGUACUGCCCUAUGAAUUUAUAGAGAAGGAAAGAAAGGAAAAAAGGCAGCUUUGUUUUGGUUUUGGUAAAUUAUUGGAACACAACAUACAGCAAAUAGUUCAACGCUAUAUAACAAGUCCAAAAAGGUGUUAAGCAGUCCUUUUGUUCACUUGGUUGUAUGCCAGUUUGUUGCAAGUAAUCUACAGGCAGCCAGUUGCAGAGGUUUGAUUGCGAAUCACUUAGAUGCAGGCAAUAAGAUGAUUCCAGAAGAACUGGGGAAUGGAUCCUGCUUACAUGCCCAGUAGGAAAUCUUUCGAGCGUGCAGGUGAGGGACAACUGCUGUAUUCUUUAAAAUACUACUUAAUCUUGCUCGGAUGGACCUAUACAGCUGUCGAACUGAUGCUAGAUGGCUGUAAUGGUAAAGGCCGGACAGAAGCCAUGUUCUGGCAGUAAAUUUACUUCAGUUCAUGCCCAACCUUGGAGCACUAGUGUUGGAAGCAGGCAAGCCUUGGAGCCAGCUACUGCAGCCAGUUCGGAAUGCUUGCAUUUUUAACACCUGAACAAAUUUAGGAUCCUUGGAGCCCUAGGAUGUCCUUAGGAGGUGAGAGUAUGGUUUGCAUGCAUGAUGCGAUCGAACUAUUAGAUCUUCAAGAUUCUCAAAGGGUUUCCUGAAUUGAUGCAAGUCAUGGUCUAAAUAAAACGGCGUAGCAUCAAAAGAACUGUUUGGUUCUUUUGAACUGCGAAACCUAAUCUUGCACUGAGUUUUAUAAGGUGGUAUCAUUUUGAAG